UACGAAGGGGGCUAGCGUUGCUCGGAAUUACUGGGCGUAAAGGGCGCGUAGGCGGUCCUAUAAGUCAGGCGUGAAAUUCCUGGGCUUAACCUGGGGGCUGCGCUUGAGACUGUGGGACUUGAGGUCAGAAGAGGGUCGUGGAAUUCCCAGUGUAGAGGUGAAAUUCGUAGAUAUUGGGAAGAACACCGGUGGCGAAGGCGGCGACCUGGUCUGAUACUGACGCUGAGGCGCGACAGCGUGGGGAGCAAACAGG
rnacentral:rRNA from 1 species